GAUGAACGCUAGCGGCAGGCUUAACACAUGCAAGUCGAGGGGUAGAAGUCUUCGGAUUUUGAGACCGGCGCACGGGUGCGUAACGCGUAUGCAAUCUGCCUUUUACAGAGGGAUAGCCCAGAGAAAUUUGGAUUAAUACCUCAUAGUAUUAUGAAAUGGCAUCAUUUUAUAAUUAAAGUCACAACGGUAAAAGAUGAGCAUGCGUCCCAUUAGCUAGUUGGUAAGGUAACGGCUUACCAAGGCUACGAUGGGUAGGGGUCCUGAGAGGGAGAUCCCCCACACUGGUACUGAGACACGGACCAGACUCCUACGGGAGGCAGCAGUGAGGAAUAUUGGACAAUGGGCGCAAGCCUGAUCCAGCCAUGCCGCGUGCAGGAUGACGGUCCUAUGGAUUGUAAACUGCUUUUAUACGAGAAGAAACACUCCUACGUGUAGGAGCUUGACGGUAUCGUAAGAAUAAGGAUCGGCUAACUCCGUGCCAGCAGCCGCGGUAAUACGGAGGAUCCAAGCGUUAUCCGGAAUCAUUGGGUUUAAAGGGUCCGUAGGCGGUUUAGUAAGUCAGUGGUGAAAGCCCAUCGCUCAACGGUGGAACGGCCAUUGAUACUGCUGAACUUGAAUUAUUAGGAAGUAACUAGAAUAUGUAGUGUAGCGGUGAAAUGCUUAGAGAUUACAUGGAAUACCAAUUGCGAAGGCAGGUUACUACUAAUGGAUUGACGCUGAUGGACGGAAGCGUGGGUAGC
rnacentral:rRNA from 1 species